rnacentral:rRNA from 1 species
UACGUAGGGGGCAAGCGUUGUCCGGAUUUAUUGGGCGUAAAGAGCGUGUGGGCGGCCAGUCAGGUCCGUUGUGAAAACUCGAGGCUCAACCUCGAGACGCCGAUGGAAACCGACUGGCUAGAGUCCGGAAGAGGAGAGUGGAAUUCCCGGUGUAGCGGUGAAAUGCGCAGAUAUCGGGAAGAACACCCGUGGCUAAGGCGGCUCUCUAGUACGGUACUGACGCUGAGACGCGAAAGCGUGGGGAGCGAACAGGAUUAGAUACCCUGGUAGUCCACGCCGUAAACGAUGGGUGCUAGGUGUGGGGGGUGUCGACUCCCUCCGUGCCGAAGCUAACGCGUUAAGCACUCCGCCUGGGGAGUACGGCCGCAAGGCUA